UUUAGUUCCAGCUACUUGGGAGGCUGAGGCAGGAGAAUCGCUUGAACCCAGGAAGCAGAGGUUGCAGUGAGCUGAGAUCGCACCACUGCACUCCAGCCUGGGUGACAGAGUGAGACUCUGUCUCAACAAAAAAAGGAAAAAAAAUUUGAUAAAUGUGUUUUCUUGGGAUAUGAGAUAAUUACGCACACUUUCCUCAGGGGAAGACUGAGGCCGAGAAGAAUAAAGCUCUUGCGGCCAGGCAUGGUGGCUCACGCCCGUAACCCAGCACUUGGGGAGGCUGAGGUGUGCAGAUCACCUGAGGUCAGGAGUUCGAGACCAGCCAACAUAGUGAAACACAGUCUCUACUAAAAAUACAAAAAAAAUUACCCAGGCAUGGUGGCUCAUGCCUGUAGUCCCAGCUACUCGGGAGGCUGAGGCACGAGAAUCGCUUGAACCCGGAGGCGGAGGUUGCAGUAAGCCGAGAUCUCACCACUGCACUCUAGCCUGGGCAACAGAGUGAGACUCGGUCUCAAAAAAGAAAAGAGAAAAGCUCUUGCGUUAACCUGUGUGUGCCAGGCUGUACUUGUGCAUGGAAACUCUCAGAACACCCACCAGCCCCAUGCUUAUUGUCAGGCACCAUGCCCUGAGUAAAGCACUAGGCCAAGCCACAGCAGCUGGAAAUGGUGGAGAAGAGAAGGCUCAGUCCUGGCACAACAUCUGCUUGCAUCUGAAGGCAGGAACAUUCCUGGGAAGACAGCAGGGCUAGCUGAAAGAAGCAGCAGCCUCCCAGAGAUGUGAAGUGGCCUUGGAGGUCCCACUCUUCUCACGAGUCCUUGAUUUUGUUCUUGACAUGUCAACUGGAAGAGCAUUCAAAUUUCCCUGAGUCUGUGUCUCAUGGGGAGGCAUGAGAAAAAGGCAGAAUCAGGAGGCCAUUGAAGUAGUCCAGGUAAGAGAUUAUUUAUGUAUUCAUUCAAUAAGUAUUUUAAACGCUCUUUAUGUGAAAGGCACUGUUGUUAGGGGCUAGGGAUAGAGCAGGAAACAAAAAACAUGGCCCCUGAGACCAGCGAGCUUACAUUCCAGUGGUGGAGAAAGACCAUGCACAAGUAAAUAAAUAAACCAGGUAAUUACAGACUGUGUAGUAAGUGUUGUGAAAUAUGACAAACAACACUUGAAAUAAGGUGGACAUGGAAGGCCUCAGGCCUGAAUAAGAAGGAGCCAGCUGUAUUCCAGGCAGAGGAAGUAGCGCAUAUCAAAGCCCUGACUGUGAACAGUCUGAUGAGGCCUGAACUAGUUUAGGAAGUAGGAAUGGAAAGAAGGAAUGAAUCUGUGAAUAUUUAGAAGGAAUAAUCAGAAGGACAGACUGAAUGCAGUGGUUGAAGGUUGAACUUUGGCACCUCGCUGAUGGUGGUGCCACUUGCAUUGGGGAAGGAGGAGCAGGUUUUAGGGACAAGCAUUUCCCCUCUGGAGGGCUCUCUUUCCCAUCUGUACAAUAGGUUAAUAUAACAACCAAGCUUAGUGCUAGGAUUUUUGUUUUCGUGGUUUUUUGUUGUUUUUGUGUGUGUGUGUGCAUGUGAUGGGGUCUCACUCUGACAUCCAGGCUUGAGGACAGUGGCAUGAUCACAGAUCACUGCAGCCUCAACCUCCCUGGGCUCAGGAGAUCCCCCCCAUCUCAGCCUCCCAAGUAGCUGGGACUACAGGCAUGCACCGCCAUGCCUGGCUAAUUUUUUUUGUUGUUUUUUCUGCAGAGACGGGUUUUUGCCAUGUUGCCCAGGCCAGAUUGCUAGUUCUUAAGAAUGUUAUGUUCCUCACACUUACUGAAUUCCAAAUGAAUUAAAGAUUAUGGCCGGGCAAGGUGGCUCACACCUGUAAUCCCAGCCCUUUGGGAGGCCCAGGCGGGUGAAUCACCUGGAGUUGGAAGUUCAAGACCAGCCUGACCAACGUGGAGAAACCCCAUCUCUACUAAAAAUACAAAAUU
rnacentral:lncRNA from 10 species